AGAGUUUGAUCCUGGCUCAGGACGAACGCUGGCGGCGUGCCUAAUACAUGCAAGUAGAACGCUGAAGACUUUAGCUUGCUAAAGUUGGAAGAGUUGCGAACGGGUGAGUAACGCGUAGGUAACCUGCCUACUAGCGGGGGAUAACUAUUGGAAACGAUAGCUAAUACCGCAUAACAGCAUUUAACCCAUGUUAGAUGCUUGAAAGGAGCAAUUGCUUCACUAGUAGAUGGACCUGCGUUGUAUUAGCUAGUUGGUGAGGUAACGGCUCACCAAGGCGACGAUACAUAGCCGACCUGAGAGGGUGAUCGGCCACACUGGGACUGAGACACGGCCCAGACUCCUACGGGAGGCAGCAGUAGGGAAUCUUCGGCAAUGGGGGCAACCCUGACCGAGCAACGCCGCGUGAGUGAAGAAGGUUUUCGGAUCGUAAAGCUCUGUUGUAAGAGAAGAACGUGUGUGAGAGUGGAAAGUUCACACAGUGACGGUAACUUACCAGAAAGGGACGGCUAACUACGUGCCAGCAGCCGCGGUAAUACGUAGGUCCCGAGCGUUGUCCGGAUUUAUUGGGCGUAAAGCGAGCGCAGGCGGUUUAAUAAGUCUGAAGUUAAAGGCAGUGGCUUAACCAUUGUUCGCUUUGGAAACUGUUAGACUUGAGUGCAGAAGGGGAGAGUGGAAUUCCAUGUGUAGCGGUGAAAUGCGUAGAUAUAUGGAGGAACACCGGUGGCGAAAGCGGCUCUCUGGUCUGUAACUGACGCUGAGGCUCGAAAGCGUGGGGAGCAAACAGGAUUAGAUACCCUGGUAGUCCACGCCGUAAACGAUGAGUGCUAGGUGUUAGGCCCUUUCCGGGGCUUAGUGCCGCAGCUAACGCAUUAAGCACUCCGCCUGGGGAGUACGACCGCAAGGUUGAAACUCAAAGGAAUUGACGGU
rnacentral:rRNA from 1 species